UCAUGCUCAGGAUGAACGCUGGCGGCGUGCCUAAUACAUGCAAGUCGAGCGAACGGACGAGAAGCUUGCUUCUCUGAUGUUAGCGGCGGACGGGUGAGUAACACGUGGAUAACCUACCUAUAAGACUGGGAUAACUUCGGGAAACCGGAGCUAAUACCGGAUAAUAUUUUGAACCGCAUGGUUCAAAAGUGAAAGACGGUCUUGCUGUCACUUAUAGAUGGAUCCGCGCUGCAUUAGCUAGUUGGUAAGGUAACGGCUUACCAAGGCAACGAUGCAUAGCCGACCUGAGAGGGUGAUCGGCCACACUGGAACUGAGACACGGUCCAGACUCCUACGGGAGGCAGCAGUAGGGAAUCUUCCGCAAUGGGCGAAAGCCUGACGGAGCAACGCCGCGUGAGUGAUGAAGGUCUUCGGAUCGUAAAACUCUGUUAUUAGGGAAGAACAUAUGUGUAAGUAACUGUGCACAUCUGACGGUACCUAAUCUAGAAAGCCACGG
rnacentral:rRNA from 1 species